rnacentral:rRNA from 1 species
GACCCUGUUGAGCUUGACUCUAGUUUGACAUUGUGAAAAGACAUAGGGGGUGUAGAAUAGGUGGGAGCUUCGGCGCCGGUGAAAUACCACUACCCUUAUCGUUUUUUUACUUAAUCAAUGAAGCGGAACUGGGCUUUACCGCCCAAUUUCUAGCAUUAAGGUCCUUCGCGGGCCGAUCCGGGUUGAUGACAUUGUCAGGUGGGGAGUUUGGCUGGGGCGGCACAU